AGAAAAUUAAUAUGAAUGCUUGGCGAAUGUUCUACUCUGUAAUUUUCGUGCAAUGUUUGGUGUUUCCUCUUGCAAAUGCUUCGCUGGCUUGCUCGUGUUUUUCAUCGUCAUUCUCAAGAGCAAUUGGUUAUAUCCUUCGAGGAUUUCUACUUGGCGAAAUGAAAGUAGCUACAGUGAUUGAAUGCAAGAGGCGUUGUGUCAUCAGUGCCAACUGUUUAUCUUUGAAUAUAUUAACUAACGGCGAUGGAAGCUUUAUGUGUCAGUUGAACAGUGACGUGAAGGAAAACGGAGUUAAGGAACAGUUUGUACAGCAUGGGUCUGGGGAGUACUAUGGCUUGAAG